UACGUAGGGUGCAAGCGUUGUCCGGAAUUAUUGGGCGUAAAGAGCUCGUAGGCGGUUCGUCGCGUCGGCUGUGAAAUCCCGAGGCUCAACCUCGGGUCUGCAGUCGAUACGGGCGGACUGGAGUUCGGCAGGGGAGACUGAAUUCCUGGUGUAGCGGUGAAAUGCGCAGAUAUCAGGAGGAACACCGGUGGCGAAGGCGGGUCUCUGGGCCGAUACUGACGCUGAGGAGCGAAAGCGUGGGGAGCGACCAGG
rnacentral:rRNA from 1 species